CAUGAAGCUGGAAUCGCUAGUAAUCGCAGGUCAGCAUACUGCGGUGAAUACGUUCCCGGGUCUUGUACACACCGCCCGUCACACCAUGGGAGCCGGAAAUGCCCGAAGCCAGUGACCCAACCUUAGGGAGGGAGCUGUCGAAGGCGGGUCCGGUGACCGGGGUGAAGUCGUAACAAGGUAAC
rnacentral:rRNA from 1 species